UAUUGUGUGGCGUAGUGGUUAGAGUAUCGGACUAUGACUUGGGAUACCAGGGUUCAAAUCCCCACUCAGCCAUAA